CCCUGGGGGCUGGGGCGAGGGUGGGGAGCCUGUUGGAGAGGGGCUGGGGGCUUCCCCGGUAAGAAGCGGGACAGCUGCCCCAUGGAAGUGCUUCCCCCCCCCCGAGCCUGCUCUUCCAGGCCACCUCACUUGUCAAGCAUACUGGCGGGCCCUUUUUGAGAGGGUUAAAAUCCCCCCUUCUGUUCCCCCCUCUUCCAUUUCCCCCCAGAUCUUGUGACUUUCCACCAGCCCAACGUCCAUAUUGGGUGGGCUUCGGCUUGAGUCAUGGCUCAACACCCCCCACCUCCCCGCACUCACACAACUCUAUUUGGUGGUUGCUGCCAUUUCCCUUCUCUUUUUCCAGAUAUGGACUCCUUGUUUUCAAAAACACCUGCCCCUGAGCAUGCACCGAGUGCCCGCAAAGAGAACACUGCCGUACCCUGGGGCGAGAGAGCAUGAAUUCUCAAGUCAGAGUGGGCCACGUCCCAGGGAAACGUUGGGUCUCAGCAAUUCCUCUCUCUCUCUCACACACACACACACACACACACAAACACACAUGUAGUGGAGGGCGUCUGUCUACACAGAGCAGCCCAAGGCUGUUGAAGGGGUCAACCCCACAGGAUUCCUUAUUGUGUGGUGGAUUCACCCGCUCACCUUUAUCUUCUCAAGGGUCUUCUGGAGGAGGUCUCCGUUGGCACUUGCUCAUCGCCAUCUAAAGAUGGCAGUCCUCCUGGGCACCCCUUGGCAUGAGGGAGGGAGAAGGGGGGACACCCCACCCUGGAAAAGGGAGCAGCCGGUAACUUGCCGGACCCUUCCUGCAGCACUCGUCGGACAGGAGUGGGUGGGCACCAUCUGCCCUCGGGGGAUGCGCGCUGCUCCCUGUCUGCAUCCCAAAUUGUCGUCCGGUGGGUUUAUGUAGAAUCAAUGUGGACUGGAACUUAAAUGCAAACAAGACAGCACUGAAGAGGAGGGGGGGAAAACCCUCUCUCCUUGAGAAUUGAGUGUAUAAGUGUGUACAUAAAAUAAAUGUCUACCAAGCAGUUGCCUCUGAGUUGUG
rnacentral:lncRNA from 1 species